rnacentral:rRNA from 1 species
AACGUAGGAGACAAACGUUAUCCGGAGUUACUGGGCGUAAAGGGCGUGUAAGCGGUCUGUUAAGUCUGGCGUGAAAGCUCUCGGCUAAACCGGGAGAGGUCGUUGGAUACUGGCAAACUAGAGGACGGUAGAGGCGUGUGGAAUUCCGGGUGUAGUGGUGAAAUGCGUAGAGAUCCGGAGGAACACCAGUGGCGAAGGCGACACGCUGGGCCGUACCUGACGCUAAAGCGCGACAGCAUGGGGAGCAAACGGG